rnacentral:rRNA from 1 species
GCACACGUGCUGCACUGAUGCACCCAGAGAGUGUCCUAUCUUCCCUGGAGAGGUUGGUCAAUCUGCCAACCUGUGUCGUGAUGGGGAUGAAUCAUUGCAACUUUGCUCCUGAACUCCUAGCAAAAGCAGGUCAUCAACUCGCAUUGAUUGUGUUCCUGCCCUUUGUACACACAGCCCGUCGCUCCUAGCGAUUGAGUGGUCCGGUGAAAAGUUUGGACCUGCUGUAGCAUCCAGUCGUGGAGCAGCACAGCCAGAAAUUCAGUGAACCUUAUCACUUAGAGGAAGGAG